rnacentral:rRNA from 1 species
UACGUAGGGUGCGAGCGUUGUCCGGAAUUAUUGGGCGUAAAGAGCUCGUAGGCGGUCUGUCGCGUCGGUCGUGAAAACUUGGGGCUUAACCCUGAGCUUGCGGUCGAUACGGGCAUGACUGGAGUUCGGCAGGGGAGACUGGAAUUCCUGGUGUAGCGGUGAAAUGCGUAGUUAUCUGGAGGAACACCGGUGGCGAAGGCGGCAUCCUGGACCGGUAUUGACGCUGAGGCGCGAAAGCCAGGGGAGCAAACGGG